AAUAAGUCUACCGGAAGUUAUACCCAUGUUACUUGUUACGCCAACGACAAUUAUCCGCCAUUACUUAGUGGAAAAGUAAGAAAAACGAGCCAAACCCUAAAGAGCAGGUGACUGGUAAAUCCAAAAAUGAUGUCGGAGUCAACGAAGAUGGUCCCCAGGUCGAUGACGCCGGGGUCCGGCUUGCCGCUUCCGGGAGCCCCCGUGCGGACGGCAUGACGAGGACUGCCCUGGGGGGAGCGGAUGUAAGGAAGAAGUGGCGUCGGCUCACAUUUUUGCUGGGGAGGCUGCGGAUUCAAUUAUGUCGCCGUUCUGCCACAAAAAGAGACAAAAAGAGGGAGGAGAUGAACAAGCACCAAGAUAAGAGGAAUGACAAACUGGCCGGCAAUCAACAGCGCACCCAGCAGGUUGUCUCUGCCAUCGUUUCUCAUCUCAUAGAUUGGCACCUGAGCAGAGACGAGGGAGACUUAAUUUGUUUUGCUGGAAAUAGGUCAAACGCUUGUUUUUUUUGUAUGUGCUUUUACCUGUGAACCAGUGAGGAUGAUAGGCUUGCCCAAGUGCUCACACAUGAAGGACAGCGCUGAGGCGGUGUAGGCCAUGGUGUCUGUGCCGUGAAGGAUCACAAAGCCAUCAUAGCUUUCAUAGUUUUUCUGUAAUCAAAUUAAUUACAAAAAUCUAAUGUUAUACAAAAUAUGAAAAACAAAAAAAUUACGUCUACGACAGUAUAUUACAUGUUUUUAUGUUCUACUGUCUUGUACUCAUCUGUUUUUAUGUCAAGUGUGUUUCUUGUUUCUCUCCUUUUGGUCUGUUGGGGACUACAGAUUUAAGGUAGCCUUCUGGCUAAUUCUGGCAUAUUUACACUUUUAAUGUUCAAGAAUAUGCACGAGAGAUGUAACAAUAUUGUAAAUACCGCGGUAUUGCGGUAUCAAAAUUAUCAUAAUAAUGCUGUGAUGAUGUGUAACUGUAUAAAAUGAAAACUUGGGUCGGUGUAGUUUUUUUCUGGCACUGGCCGAUCUGGAAGUAAACUUGAUCUCACAGGGGAAAGCAAGGAUUGUUUUUCGGACAUGUCCUAAAGUUUUCAUCAAAAUCCAUCCAUAACUUUUUGAGUUAUGUUGCUAACAGACAUAUAGACAAACCCUGGCGAAAACACAACCUCUUGCGUACUGCAAAGCAAAGCACACCGCGUGCCUUUGUCUCAAGCGUUUCUAGGACGACACAUAAAGCCGGUCAAAAGUUGUGAUGUUUGACCCACAUUUUUUCAAUAACAUUGAAUCAACUUGUGGUUUAAGUAGAUGUGUUACCCGUGUUUUAAGUAGGAAAUGCGCCGGGCGCCAAUACGGACAACAACAAAAAAGUUGGGUAACACCGCAGUGCGGGGAACAAAAUAUGAGAAGCUACUUAAUAAACCAUCACCCGGAAAAUAUAUUUGAAGCCAGCAAUACGAAGCAUCAAUUUGUGAGGUAUUUACAUUAUUAAACGUUAAGUUGU